rnacentral:rRNA from 1 species
AGUGAACGCUGGCGGUAGGCCUAACACAUGCAAGUCGAACGGCAGCACAGUAAGAGCUUGCUCUUACGGUUGGCGAGUGGCGGACGGGUGAGGAAUACAUCGGAAUCUACUUUUUCGUGGGGGAUAACGUAGGGAAACUUACGCUAAUACCGCAUACGACCUACGGGUGAAAGCAGGGGAUCUUCGGACCUUGCGCGAUUGAAUGAGCCGAUGUCGGAUUAGCUAGUUGGCGGGGUAAAGGCACACCAAGGCGACGAUCCGUAGCUGGUCUGAGAGGAUGAUCAGCCACACUGGAACUGAGACACGGUCCAGACUCCUACGGGAGGCAGCAGUGGGGAAUAUUGGACAAUGGGCGCAAGCCUGAUCCAGCCAUGCCGCGUGAGUGAAGAAGGCCUUCGGAUUGUAAAGCCCUUUUGUUGGGAAAGAAAAGCAGCAGGUUAAUACCCCGCUGUUCUGACGGUACCCAAAGAAUAAGCACCGGCUAACUUCGUG